AGACCAUUGAUCCCCUCCUCCCCAAGCAGCCACAGACACAGCCACCACACUAGCUUUGGACACCUCUACCUAGCUCCAUCUGCAACCAUAUGCAUCUCCACCCUCUCCAUUUGGAACCAGAAAACCAUGGCUUCUCCUGCAUGCUCACUACUCAUCCCUACACAGAAAGCUCUAGCUGCUGCUAGUUUCAUUCUAGUAAUGAUACAAAUAUCAAGAGAAAAAGUGAGAGUCAAAUAGAGGUGUGAGGUGAGGAAGAUGCUGCAGGUAGAAGAAGCUGAGAGAAAGAUAUGAUCAAGCAAGCAAGCAAGCAAGCAAAAGUUAUCUAGCUAAAGAGGGAGCCUUUUCAUUUUGAGGGGAAUGUUGUCUGGCUCGGGGCUACUUUUAAUUUCUCUCUCUUUUGAUAUCUUCUUUUCUCGAUCUCCUAGCUUGAUCUUUUGAUCUCUCAAAUCGAUCUUAAGAAAAAGAUCAGUCAAAGAGAUGAGAGUAGAUGUCUGUAGAUCUCGGACCAGGCUUCAUUCCCCCCAAACAGAAGGGCUCCCAUGCAUAUCGAUCAUGAGCUAGCUUAUUACCCCCUGCUUUUGCCUCUUCCAAAUCUGAUGAACUGGGUAAGUUAACUGAAUAUUGCUUAACUAAUCAGCUUUUUGUUUCAUCUGAUGGAUAGAUAGGAGGAGUAGAUCUUGGUGGCAUGAACUGCAUGAGAUGCAGAUUGGUGUAAUGAUGGGGGGAAAGACUGCAUGACUGUACAAUUGCACACUUAUCAGAGCUACUUGGGAUCUCUUCUCUUCUCUUCUCUCUCUGCAAUAAUUAGCCUUUGAUGAGAUGAAGGGUGAUGAGGAAAAGGCUGUCAUCAUUAAAGGCCUUUGUUCCAUGCAGAUCCUAUCCUUCAUGGUUGGAACUAGCUAGUCUGUAUUCAUCAGUUUUUGGUGAUCUAUUUUUCAUCUUCGUUUUUCUUCAUGUUCUACCUUGCCUGGUAGGAUAAUGAAACAUGAAGUACAUAUAUCAUGCUCUGUAGUACACUCCGGGAGAAAUAUAUGGAUAUUUACUUCCUGUUAAUUUGUUGCUUGGAGUAGAUCUAGAGAGAAAAACCAACUCUUUGCACUGUGCGUGGAUUCUUUACCUUUUUCUCCUUCAAUUUUUGUCUCUCUCCAAAUAAUGUUGCAUUGGGACAUAUUAAUUUGAUUCCAGUUUAAGGGAAUUAAUAGGUAGCUAGCAGAUUUCCAUUUAUACUUUGGUCACUGAGGUUAAUUAAUUAAUUGCCUAUAAAUUGUUCCGAUAACUGAUUCACACUGUUCAAGAGAAAAGGCAAGCUAGAUUCAUAUUCUUCAGAGUAAUGCUCCGGUGCAAUCUACUUGCAGUAUUCUACUCCAAGUAGAAUAAUCUUGACCGUUUAUUUUAAAGAGCAGGUAAGUAAUCUCCUAAUAUCGUUUAGGGGUAAUUUUGGCAUGGGAUGUUUUCUUCUGUUCGCAUCGUAUCAGGUCUGAACUCCGUUGCACGCAGUCACCUCGCUAUUCCUCCCCCGGCCUAGCCGCCUUGUCCGCCCCCUCCGUCGCCAUCCGUAUUCCCCGCCGUCGCCGCCUUGUCCGCUUCCUCAGUCGCAUCGUCCGUCUGGGAGCGGACGAGUGUGGUGGCGUCCGAGCAAGUGACGAUCUUGAGCAGGAGUUCUGGCGGUAGUAAAAAUUCCAGCCUAGGCUUCGGCGGCAGCGUCACGCACGCACGCAAUGUCAUUUGCUUGGCAGCGUCGUCUCGGCUCAUUCGUCUUCUUGCCGUUUCCGAUCACUGUGUUGUUUCAUGGAUUACAUGGAUCGAUUAAGAUCUUGCACGACCAACUCCGACGAGGAUGACAUGGUGAUCGAUCUAUGGAUCGGAAAACAAUAAUACCCCUUCGCGAAUUAUUUUUCCUAGACAAAAACACCCCUCCACAUUUCACUUCCACUAAUUCUGGUAGGAGUAAAACUAGAUCUUAACCCUACAAUUAAAUAUGAUCAAGGGCCUAGAUUACUUUUUACUCCGAGUAGAAAGCACCAGAGUAGGACUCUAUUCUUCAUUCAUGGUCAAAUCAUGACAAGGGUUUGAGAUCAGCAGAGCAGAUAUAUCUUUAUUAAUUUUUGGUGGUAACUAUAUAUAAUUUCAGCUAAACCGGCCAAGUAGUUAAUUACUGUGCCUUUUUUUUUCUCUUCUGUUUACUUUAUGAUCCAGUAGCUACCAUAAAUGCUGUAGAAAGAAUAUACUGCAAAGGGCACGUAGAUUUUUACCUUCUAAUAAAUGAAAUGGAACUGCGGGAAACUAUUCUAAACUCUCGAGUGGAUGUCUUCUCGUUGUGCAUAUAUACGAGAUCAUGAUCUUACCAAACAAUAACAAGUUCAUAUAUAAGAUGUGCAUUUCUAUGACAAUAUAUAUACUACAUAUUGAUUUUUUAUAUUAAUUUGCAAGCUACAUUCAUGCUGAUCAUGAUGAUGAGAUUUAAUUUUGUUCAUUCAAUUCUUAGAACACUAAUCAAAAGUAAACAUCGGACUUUUGAUUAAUCUGAAAACUUAAAUAUUAUCGAUAUAGCUACAGUAUAUGUUUGUCAGGGCACUAGCUAGCUGAUUCUCGAUCAGCUAGCUGCAGGGGAGUAUAUUUGACACCAGUGCAUUGGUGUUGGUGUAAACCUUGUUGUUAUGUAUCAACUCUGAGUUGUUUCCUGUUUGAAGCCUUGAGCUCUAGCUUCCCCAUACAGUACUACACCCAUUAUUUUUUGUGUCGAGAUGCUCAUACAUUGAGUUAUGUAGUGCGUGCUGCAUGUACAAAAUGGUGUUUCCAGUGAUCCCAAAUCCCUAAAGAUUCUCUUGUUAUGUUGUACAUUGUCUUUGAUUGCUAUAGUAGCUCUUAAGUUUUAAUUACUCCUUUUUUAUAAUUCUUUCAGGAUCUCUCAUGUUCAAAUGUUUUCAGAAAAAGGAACCUCCCUUUUGCCUCUCUGUUGGCAGUUUUGCUCUCCUUUUUUUCUUCAGACUGUUAGCUGUACUAGUGAACAUGUAUAUAGUUCUUCAUAAAAAAAAAGGUAAUCCCUUUUGUAGCUAUUGCAAUAUAAUAUGAAUCAGGAGUGGUGUUUUAAUUA